rnacentral:rRNA from 1 species
GAUGAACGCUGGCGGCGUGCCUAAUACAUGCAAGUCGAGCGAACAGACGAGGAGCUUGCUCCUCUGACGUUAGCGGCGGACGGGUGAGUCACACGUGGAUAACCUACCUAUCAUACUGGGAUAACUUCGGGAAUCCGGAGCUAAUACCGGAUAAUAUCUUGAACCGCAUGGUUCAAUAGUGAAAGACGGUUUUGCUGUCACUUAUAGAUGGAUCUGCGCCGCAUUAGCUAGUUGGUAAGGUAACGGCUUACCAAGGCGACUAGGCGUAGCCGACCGGAGAGGGGGAUAGGCCACACGGGAAGGGGAACACGGACCAGGCUCCUGCGGGAGGGAGCAGUAGGGAAUCGGCCGCAAUGGGCGAAAGUCUUACGGAGCAGCGGGGAGUGAGAGAUGACGGUGUUGGGUGCGUAAAACUCUGUUAUUAGGGAAGAACAGAUGUGGAAGUAACUAUGCACUUCUUGACGGUACCUGGUCAGAAAGCCACGGCUAACUACGUG